GACGAACGCUGGCGGCGUGCUUAACACAUGCAAGUCGAACGGAAAGGCCCUGCUUUUGUGGGGUGCUCGAGUGGCGAACGGGUGAGUAACACGUGAGUAACCUGCCCUUGACUUUGGGAUAACUUCAGGAAACUGGGGCUAAUACCGGAUAGGAGCUCCUGCUGCAUGGUGGGGGUUGGAAAGAUUCGGCGGUUGGGGAUGGACUCGCGGCUUAUCAGCUUGUUGGUGGGGUAGUGGCUUACCAAGGCUUUGACGGGUAGCCGGCCUGAGAGGGUGACCGGCCACAUUGGGACUGAGAUACGGCCCAGACUCCUACGGGAGGCAGCAGUGGGGAAUAUUGCACAAUGGGCGGAAGUCUGAUGCAGCAACGCCGCGUGCGGGAUGACGGCCUUCGGGUUGUAAACCGCUUUCGCCUGUGACGAAGCGUGAGUGACGGUAAUGGGUAAAGAAGCACCGGCUAACUACGUG
rnacentral:rRNA from 1 species